rnacentral:rRNA from 1 species
GAUGAACGCUGGCGGCGUGCCUAAUACAUGCAAGUCGAGCGAACAGACGAGGAGCUUGCUCCUCUGACGUUAGCGGCGGACGGGUGAGUAACACGUGGAUAACCUACCUAUAAGACUGGGAUAACUUCGGGAAACCGGAGCUAAUACCGGAUAAUAUAUUGAACCGCAUGGUUCAAUAGUGAAAGACGGUUUUGCUGUCACUUAUAGAUGGAUCCGCGCCGCAUUAGCUAGUUGGUAAGGUAAUGGCUUACCAAGGCAACGAUGCGUAGCCGACCUGAGAGGGUGAUCGGCCACACUGGAACUGAGACACGGUCCAGACUCCUACGGGAGGCAGCAGUAGGGAAUCUGCCGCAAUGGGCGAAAGCCUGACGGAGCAACGCCGCGUGAGUGAUGAAGGUCUUCGGAUCGUAAAACUCUGUUAUUAGGGAAGAACAAAUGUGUAAGUAACUAUGCACGUCUUGACGGUACCUAAUCAGAAAGCCACGGCUAACUACGUGCCAGCAGCCGCGGUAA